rnacentral:tRNA from 1 species
GCCCAGGUGGCGAAAUUGGCAGACGCGCAACGUUGAGGUCGUUGUGGGGGCAACCCCUUGCUGGUUCAACUCCAGUCCUGGGCAC